GGAGGGUCAGUUCCGCCAUUCCCGCCCUGCUCUGCCACCAGGUCCCGGGCACCACAGUGUGUCCCAGGGAUGACCCCACCCCCAGCCCAGGCUCUGAGUUAGGGUCUGUCCUGUGGCACCCAGACUCCUCCUCUGAGACCUGGACCAGGGCCCUCUGCACGGACGUGGAAAGGAGGGCCCCAGAGGGCGGAUGGGGCUCCCUGUGGCCUGACUUAGCCCACCUGCUGCCAGCAGCUCCUACAGGCGGGGCCCAAGUGGCCGGCCCUCAUUCCCCCCGCCACAGAGGCGGGCACCAGUGGAUCUCAGGAUGGGACUGAGAAGCCGAGCCCACCAUCCGGCAGGCCACUUCCCAGGGACUGACUGAGUGCCUGCUGCUCCCAGGUACUGUUCUACACUCUGGGGGGCACAUCAGGAAACCGGCAAUGCCUGCUUUGUGUUGCUUACAUCCUGGCCUGGACAAUCAGAAGUGGACACAACAAAUAAGGGAAAUUAUGCAGUAUGUUGAGAGGUGACACAUGCAUGCAGAGACAGAGGCAGAAUAAAGGGCCAGAGAAUGGGGCCAGAGCUGCUGCCAUUUUAAACAGGACGUUCAGGGUAGCCUGCACUGAAAGGUCACAUCUGCCUGAGGACUGGAAGGCGGGAGCCCCGCGGGUCUCUGGGAAAGACUGUUUCUGGCAGAGGGAACAGCCACGUGGAGGCCCUGAGGCAGAGGGUGCCUCCACGGGAGCUUAUCUCAAGGGGUGUUCAAAUGCGGGUGCCUCCGGCACAAAGUAAACACUCAAUAAAUGACUAUUACUACUGAAA